rnacentral:rRNA from 1 species
GAUGAACGCUGGCGGCGUGCCUAAUACAUGCAAGUCGAGCGAACGGACGAGACGCUUGCUUUUCUGAUGUUAGCGGCGGACGGGUGAGUAACACGUGGAUAACCUACCUAUAAGACUGGGAUAACUUCGGGAAACCGGAGCUAAUCCCGGAUAAUAUUUUGAACCGCAUGGUUCAAAGGUGAAAGACGGUCUUGCUGUCUCUUAUAGAUGGAUCCGCGCUGCAUUAGCUAGUUGGUAAGGUAACGGCUUACCAAGGCAACGAUGCAUAGCCGACCUGAGAGGGGGAUCGGCCACAUUGGAACUGAGACAGCGUCCAGACUCCUACGGGAGGCAGCAGUAGGGAAUCUGCCGCAAUGGGCGGAAGCCUGACGGAGCAACGCCGCGUGAGUGAUGAAGGUCUUGGGAGCGGAAAACUCUGUUAUUAGGGAAGAACAUAUGUGUAAGGAACUGUGCACAUCUUGACGGUACCUAAUCAGAAAGCCACGGCUAACUACGUG